AGCAGCCGCGGUAAUUCCAGCUCCAAUAGCGUAUAUUAAAGUUGUUGCAGUUAAAAAAGCUCGUAGUUGAACUUCGGGAUCAAUGAGUUGGUCGUGCCCUUGGUAUGAACUGGCUUUAUUGGUUCUCACCUUCUAAUGAACCAUAAUGUCAUUCAUUUGAUGUUUUGGGGAAUUAGGACUGUUACCUUGAAAAAAUUAGAGUGUUUAAAGCAGGCAUACGCUUGAAUACAUUAGCAUGGAAUAAUGAAAUAGGACGUUUGACCCUAUUUGUUGGUUUCUAGGAUCGACGUAAUGAUUAAUAGGGAUAGUUGGGGGCAUUAGUAUUCAAUUGUCAGAGGUGAAAUUCUUGGAUUUAUUGAAGACUAACUACUGCGAAAGCAUUUGCCAAGGAUGUUUUCAUUAAUCAAGAACGAAAGUUAGGGAUCGAAGACGAUCAGAUACCGUCGUAGUCUUAACCAUAAACUAUGCCGACUAGGAUCGGAUGUAUGUUUAAUUUUUAAUGUACUUCGAUUCGGCGUCCUUAACCGGG
rnacentral:rRNA from 1 species